rnacentral:rRNA from 1 species
AUUGAACGCUGGCGGCAUGCUUUACACAUGCAAGUCGAACGGCAGCGCGGGCUUCGGCCUGGCGGCGAGUGGCGAACGGGUGAGUAAUGCAUCGGAACGUGCCCAGUAGUGGGGGAUAGCCCGGCGAAAGCCGGAUUAAUACCGCAUACGACCUGAGGGUGAAAGCGGGGGACCGAAAGGCCUCGCGCUAUUGGAGCGGCCGAUGUCGGAUUAGCUAGUUGGUGGGGUAAAGGCUUACCAAGGCGACGAUCCGUAGCAGGUCUGAGAGGACGACCAGCCACACUGGGACUGAGACACGGCCCAGACUCCUACGGGAGGCAGCAGUGGGGAAUUUUGGACAAUGGGGGCAACCCUGAUCCAGCCAUGCCGCGUGCGGGAAGAAGGCCUUCGGGUUGUAAACCGCUUUUGUUCGGGAAGAAAUCCUCUGGGCUAAUACCCCGGGGGGAUGACGGUACCGGAAGAAUAAGCACCGGCUAACUACGUG